CAUUGUAAUGAGAAUAAGUUUAUACAUAUAUUAUUGUCAAAAGAGUAACUGCGGAGUUUCUUGCCGAUUCUUCUCUGCAUAAUCUACAUUCUAAAUCGGUGGGAGCUUUACUCUUACAAAAAUAAUGAUCAAUU